rnacentral:rRNA from 1 species
GUGCCAGCCGCCGCGGUAAUACGGGGGGUGCAAGCGUUGUUCGGAAUCAUUGGGCGUAAAGAGCGUGUAGGCGGCUUGAUAAGUCAGAUGUGAAAUCCCUGGGCUUAACCCAGGAAGUGCAUUUGAAACUGUCUGGCUGGAGUAAGGGAGAGGAAAGUGGAAUUCCUGGUGUAGAGGUGAAAUUCGUAGAUAUCAGGAGGAACACCGGUGGCGAAGGCGACUUUCUGGCCCUAUACUGACGCUGAGACGCGAAAGCGUGGGUAGCAAACAGGAUUAGAUACCCUGGUAGUCCACGCCGUAAACGAUGUUCACUAGGUGUUGGGGGUAUUGACCCUUUCAGUGCCGCAGCUAACGCAUUAAGUGAACCGCCUGGGGAGUACGGUCGCAAGAUUAAAACUCAAAUGAAUUGACGG